ACGGGAGGCAGCAGUAGGGAAUCUUCCGCAAUGGACGAAAGUCUGACGGAGCAACGCCGCGUGAGUGAUGAAGGUUUUCGGAUCGUAAAGCUCUGUUGUUAGGGAAGAACAAGUACCGUUCGAAUAGGGCGGUACCUUGACGGUACCUAACCAGAAAGCCACGGCUAACUACGUGCCAGCAGCCGCGGUAAUACGUAGGUGGCAAGCGUUGUCCGGAAUUAUUGGGCGUAAAGGGCUCGCAGGCGGUUUCUUAAGUCUGAUGUGAAAGCCCCCGGCUCAACCGGGGAGGGUCAUUGGAAACUGGGGAACUUGAGUGCAGAAGAGGAGAGUGGAAUUCCACGUGUAGCGGUGAAAUGCGUAGAGAUGUGGAGGAACACCAGUGGCGAAGGCGACUCUCUGGUCUGUAACUGACGCUGAGGAGCGAAAGCGUGGGGAGCGAACAGGAUUAGAUACCCUGGUAGUCCACGCCGUAAACGAUGAGUGCUAAGUGUUAGGGGGUUUCCGCCCCUUAGUGCUGCAGCUAACGCAUUAAGCACUCCGCCUGG
rnacentral:rRNA from 1 species